UUUUAGCCCAGAUGGAAGCGGCAUCCUCUAGUGGCGGGGUUCGCCACUAGAGAUAUAGCGUACAGCUGGAAUAGCU
rfam:Flavobacterium sp. LM5 Flavobacterium_sp_LM5_contig6, whole genome shotgun sequence.